GACUACCGGGGUAUCUAAUCCUGUUCGCUACCCACGCUUUCGUGCCUCAGCGUCAAUCAAGGCCCAGCUAGCUGCCUUCGCAAUUGGUGUUCCAUGACAUAUCUAUGCAUUUCACCGCUACAUGUCACAUUCCGCUAACCUCAACCCAAUUCAAGAAUAUCAGUAUCAAUGGCAGUUCUAUCGUUAAGCGACAGGCUUUCACCACUGACUUAAUAUUCCGCCUACGCACCCUUUAAACCCAGUGAUUCCGGAUAACGCUUGCACCCUCCGUAUUACCGCGGCUGCUGGCACGGAGUUAGCCGGUGCUUAUUCCGCAGAUACCGUCAGACACUCAUAAAUGAAUGCUUUUCUUCUCUGCUAAAAGCAGUUUACAAUCCAUAGGACCUUCAUCCUGCACGCGGGAUGGCUGGUUCAGACUUUCGUCCAUUGACCAAUAUUCCUUACUGCAGCCCCCCGUAGG
rnacentral:rRNA from 1 species